rnacentral:rRNA from 1 species
AUUGAACGCUGGCGGCAGGCUUAACACAUGCAAGUCGAGCAGUAACAGAGAGAAGCUUGCUUCUCUGCUGACGAGCGGCGGACGGGUGAGUAAUGCCUAGGAAUCUGCCUAGUAGUGGGGGAUAACUUGCCGAAAGGUAAGCUAAUACCGCAUACGUCCUACGGGAGAAAGGAGGGGACCUUCGGGCCUUUCGCUGUUAGAUGAGCCUAGGUCGGAUUAGUUAGUUGGUGAGGUAAUGGCUCACCAAGACCGCGAUCCGUAACUGGUCUGAGAGGAUGAUCAGUCACACUGGAACUGAGACACGGCCCAGACUCCUACGGGAGGCAGCAGUGGGGAAUAUUGGACAAUGGGGGGAACCCUGAUUCAGCCAUGCCGCGUGUGUGAAGAAGGUCUUAGGAUUGUAAAGCACUUUAAGUUGGGAGGAAGAGCAGUUAACUAAUAUUUGACUGUUUUGACGUUACCGACAGAAUAAGCACCGGCUAACUUCGUGCCAGCCGCCGCGGUAA